GCGGAGGAAAAGAAACCAACAGGGAUUGCCCCAGUAACGGCGAGUGAAGCGGCAACAGCUCAAAUUUGAAAUCUGGCCCCAGGCCCGAGUUGUAAUUUGCAGAGGAUGCUUUUGGCGCGGUGCCUUCCGAGUUCCCUGGAACGGGACGCCAUAGAGGGUGAGAGCCCCGUACGGUUGGACACCAAGCCUUUGUAAAGCUCCUUCGACGAGUCGAGUAGUUUGGGAAUGCUGCUCUAAAUGGGAGGUACAUUUCUUCUAAAGCUAAAUAUUGGCCAGAGACCGAUAGCGCACAAGUAGAGUGAUCGAAAGAUGAAAAGCACUUUGAAAAGAGGGUUAAACAGCACGUGAAAUUGUUAAAAGGGAAGCGCUUGUGACCAGACUUGCGUCCGGUGAAUCACCCAGCUCUCGCGGCUGGGGCACUUCGCCGGCACAGGCCAGCAUCAGCUUGCCGUCGGGGACAAAAGCUUCAGGAACGUGGCUCCUCUCGGGGAGUGUUAUAGCCUGUUGCAUAAUACCCUUCGGCGGGCUGAGGUACGCGCUCCGCAAGGAUGCUGGCGUAAUGGUCAUCAGCGACCCGUCUUGAAACACGGACCAAGGAGUCAACCUUAUGUGCGAGUGUUUGGGUGUUAAACCCCUACGCGUAAUGAAAGUGAACGCAGGUGAGAGCUUCGGCGCAUCAUCGACCGAUCCUGAUGUUCUCGGAUGGAUUUGAGUAAGAGCAUAUAGGGUUGGACCCGAAAGAAGGUGAACUAUGCGUGUGUAGGGUGAAGCCAGAGGAAACUCUGGUGGAGGCUCGCAGCGGUUCUGACGUGCAAAUCGAUCGUCAAACAUGCGCAUGGGGGC
rnacentral:rRNA from 1 species